GGAUUAAGAUGGGCAUGCGUGUCAUUAGCUAGUUGGCGGGGUAACGGCCCACCAAGGCGACGAUGACUAGGGGAUCUGAGAGGAUGACCCCCCACACUGGUACUGAGACACGGACCAGACUCCUACGGGAGGCAGCAGUAAGGAAUAUUGGUCAAUGGAGGCAACUCUGAACCAGCCAUGCCGCGUGCAGGAAGACAGCCCUCUGGGUCGUAAACUGCUUUUAUUCGGGAAUAAACCACAUUACGUGUAAUGUGCUGAAUGUACCGAAGGAAUAAGGAUCGGCUAACUCCGUGCCAGCAGCCGCGGUAAUACGGAGGAUCCAAGCGUUAUCCGGAUUUAUUGGGUUUAAAGGGUGCGUAGGCGGCUUAUUAAGUCAGGGGUGAAAGACGGUGGCUCAACCAUCGCAGUGCCUUUGAUACUGAUGAGCUUGAAUACACUAGAGGUAGGCGGAAUGUGACAAGUAGCGGUGAAAUGCAUAGAUAUGUCACAGAACACCGAUUGCGAAGGCAGCUUACUAUGGUGUGAUUGACGCUGAGGCACGAAAGCGUGGGGAUCAAACAGGAUUAGAUACCCUGGUAGUCCACGCCCUAAACGAUGAAUACUCGCUGUUAGCGAUAUACAGUUAGCGGCUAAGCGAAAGCGUUAAGUAUUCCACCUGGGGAGUACGCCCGCAAGGGUGAAACUCAAAGGAAUUGACGGGGGCCCGCACAAGCGGAGGAGCAUGUGGUUUAAUUCGAUGAUACGCGAGGAACCUUACCCGGGCUUGAAAGUUAGUGAAUCAUUUAGAGAUAGAUGAGUCCGCAAGGACACGAAACUAGGUGCUGCAUGGCUGUCGUCAGCUCGUGCCGUGAGGUGUUGGGUUAAGUCCCGCAACGAGCGCAACCCCUAUGUUUAGUUGCCAGCACGUUAUGGUGGGGACUCUAAACAGACUGCCUGUGCAAACAGAGAGGAAGGAGGGGACGACGUCAAGUCAUCAUGGCCCUUACGUCCGGGGCUACACACGUGCUACAAUGGAUGGUACAGAGGGCAGCAAGCUGGCAACAGCAAGCGAAUCUCAAAAAGCCAUUCACAGUUCGGAUAGAGGUCUGCAACUCGACCUCUUGAAGUUGGAUUCGCUAGUAAUCGCGUAUCAGCAAUGACGCGGUGAAUACGUUCCCGGGCCUUGUACACACCGCCCGUCAAGCCAUGGAAGUUGGGGGUACCUAAAGUAUGUAACCGCAAGGAGCGUCCUAGGGUAAAACCGAUAACUGGGGCUAAGUCGUAACAAGGUA
rnacentral:rRNA from 1 species